AACUUUCGAUGGUAGGAUAGAGGCCUACCAUGGUGGUAACGGGUAACGGGGUGUUAGGGCACGACACCGGAGAGGGAGCCUGUGAAACGGCUACCACAUCCAAGGAUGGCAGCAGGCGCGCAAAUUACCCAAUCCCGACACGGGGAGGUAGUGACAAUAAAUAACAAUACGGGGUUCUUUAGGAUUUCGUAAUUGGAAUGAGUACAAUUUAAAUCUCUUAACGAGGAACAAUUGGAGGGCAAGUCUGGUGCCAGCAGCCGCGGUAAUUCCAGCUCCAAUAGCGUAUAUUAAAGUUGUUGCAGUUAAAAAGCUCGUAGUUGAAUUUCGGGGUCAGUAGGUUGGUCAUGCCACUGGUAUGUACUGGCUUCACUGAUUCCUCCUUCCUGAUGAGCCGUAAUGCCAUUAAUUUGGUGUUGCGAGGAAUCUGGACUGUUACUUUGAAAAAAUUAGAGUGUUUAAAGCAGGCUAACGCUUGAAUACAUUAGCAUGGAAUAAUGAAAUAGGACGUUCGAUCUUAUUUUGUUGGUUUCUAAGAUUGACGUAAUGAUUAAUAGGGAUAGUUGGGGGCAUUAGUAUUCAAUUGUCAGAGGUGAAAUUCUUGGAUUUAUUGAAGACUAACUACUGCGAAAGCAUUUGCCAAGGAUGUUUUCAUUAAUCAAGAACGAAAGUUAGGGGGAUCGAAGACGAUCAGAUACCGUCGUAGUCUUAACCAUAAACUAUGCCGACUAGGGAUCGGAUGAUGUUAAUUUUUUAAUGACUCAUUCGGCGCCUUACGGGAAACCAAAGUGUUUGGGUUC
rnacentral:rRNA from 1 species